rnacentral:rRNA from 1 species
UACGUAGGGCGCAAGCGUUAUCCGGAAUUAUUGGGCGUAAAGAGCUCGUAGGCGGUUUGUCGCGUCUGCCGUGAAAGUCCGGGGCUCAACUCCGGAUCUGCGGUGGGUACGGGCAGACUAGAGUGAUGUAGGGGAGACUGGAAUUCCUGGUGUAGCGGUGAAAUGCGCAGAUAUCAGGAGGAACACCGGUGGCGAAGGCGGUUCUCUGGGCCUUACCUGACGCUGAGGAGCGAAAGCAUGGGGAGCAAACAGG